UCUAGGGGAAUAAAGAUGGAAUGACUUCUAAUUUUUAGGUCCGUAUGAUUUGAAAUACUUGCACACAAACCACGCGAAAGCGUUCCUGGAAAUCUCAGCCCAAAAAAGGACGUUUAGUAAUUCUAAAAGGGACUACAGGAUGAAAAACAAUAGUUUUGGCAGUUAAAGUUUGAGAUUCGACAGUGCCGUAGAUCCGUUUGGUCAUCAGGUAUUACGAGCCACACCCAUGUCUAGCUAGAAUAGUGUGCUAGGCUCAGGCUAGAGAAGAAACGGGGAACAAACUGAUGAAAGAAUGAUCAAACCGAGGGAAUUCACUCAGAACUAACAAUAAUGAUAACGUGCUCCGACUGGUGCGGUUUAGGAACUGCUGGAAGGCUCUAGGGGAAUAAAGAUGGAAUGACUUCUAAUUUUUAGGUCCGUAUGAUUUGAAAUACUUGCACACAAACCGCGCGAAAGCGUUCCUGGAAAUCUCAGCCCAAAAAAGGACGUUUAGUAAUUUUAAAAGGGACUAUAGGAUGAAAAACAAUAGUUUUGGCAAUUAAAGUUUGAGAUUCGACGGUGUCGUAGAUCCGUUUGGUCAUCAGGUGUUACGAGCCACACCCAUGUCUAGCUAGAAUAGUAUGUCAGGCUCAGGUUAGAGUAGAAACGGGGAACAAACUGAUGAAAGAAUGAUCAUACCAAGGGAAUUCACUCAGAACUAUCAAGAAUGAUAACGUGCUCCGACUGGAGUGAUUUAGGAACUGCUGGAAGGCUCUAGGGGAAUAAAGAUGGAAUGACUUCUAAUUUUUACGUCCGUAUGAUUUGAAAUACUUGCACACAAAUCACGCAAAAGCGUUCCUGGAAAUCUCAGCCUAAAAAAGGACGUUUAGUAAUUCUAAAAGGGACUACAGGAUGAAAAACAAUAGUUUGGGCAGUUAAAAUUUGAGAUUCGACGGUGCCGUAGAUCCGUUUGGUCAUCAGGUGUUACGAGCGACACCCUUGUCUAGCUAGAAUAGUGUGUUAGGCUCAGACUAGAGAAGAAACGGGGAACAAAGUGAUGAAAGAAUGAUCAUACCGAGGGAAUUCACUCAGAACUAACAAGAAUGAUAACGUGCUCCGACUGGAGCGGUUUAGUAACUGCUGGAAGGCUCUAGGGGAAUGAAGAUGGAAUGACUUCUAAUUUUUAGGUCCGUAUGAUUUGAAAUACAUGCACACAAACCCUGAGAAAGCGUUCCUGGAAAUCUCGGUCGAAAAAAGGAUGUUUAAUAAUUCUAAAAGGGACUACCGGAUGAAAAACAAUAGUUUUGGCAGUUAAAGUUUGUGAUUCGAUGGUGCCGUAGAUCUGUUUGGUCAUCAGGUGUUACGAGCCACACCCAUGUCUAUCUAGAAUAGUGUGUUAGGCUCAGGCUAGAGCAGAAACGGGGAACAGACUUAUGAAAGAAUGAUCAUACCGAGGGAAUUCACUCAGAACUAACAAGAAUGAUAACGUGCUCCGACUGGCGCGGUUUAGGAACUGCUGGAAGGCUCUAGGGGAAUAAAGAUGGAAAGACUUCUAAUUUUUAGGUCCGUAUGAUUUGAAAUACUUGCACACAAACCGCACGAAAGCGUUCCUGGAAAUCUCAGCCUAAAAAGGAUGUUUAGUAAUUCUAAAAGGGACUACAAGAUGAAAAAUAAUAGUUUGGGCAGUUAAAAUUUGAGAUUCGACGAUGCCGUAGAUCCGUUUGGUCAUCAGGUGUUAUGAGCCACACCCAUGUCUAGCUAGAAUAGUGUGUUAGGCUCAGGCUAGAGAAGAAACGGGGAACAAACUGAUGAAAGAAUGAUCAUACCGAGGGAAUUCACUCAGAACUAACAAGAAUGAUAACGUGCUCCGACUGGAGCAGUUUAGAAACUGCUGGAAGGCUCUAAUGGAAUAAAGAUGGAAUGCCUUCAAAUUUCUAGGUCCGUAUGAUUUGAAAUACUUGCACACAAACCGCUCGAAAGCGUUCCUGGAAAUCUCAGCCCAAAAAAGGACGUUUAGUAAUUCUAAAAGGGACUACAGGAUGAAAAACAAUAGUUUUGGCAGUUAAAGUUUGAGAUUCGAUGGUGCCGUAGAUCCGUUUGGUCAUCAGGUGUAACGAGCCACACACAUGUCUAGCUAGAGUAGUGUGCUAGGCUCAGACUAGAGAAGAAACGGGGAACAAAGUGAUGAAAGAAUGAUCAUACCGAGGGAAUUCACUCAGAACUUACAAGAAUGAUAACGUGCUCCGACUGGAGCGCUUUAGUAACUGCUGGAAGGCUCUAGGCGAAUAAAGAUGGAAUGACUUCUAAUUUUUAGGUCCGUAUGAUUUGAAAUACUUGCACACAAACCACGCAAAACCGUUCCUAGAAAUCUCGGUCGAAAAAAGGACGUUUAGUAAUUCUAAAAGGGACUACAGGAUGAAAAACAAUAGUUUUGGCAGUUAAAGUUUGAGAUUCGAUGGUGCCGUAGAUCCGUUUGGUCAUCAGGUGUUACGAGCCACACCCAUGUCUAGCUAGAGUAGUGUGCUAGGUUCAGACUAGAGAAGAAACGGGGAACAAA
rnacentral:lncRNA from 1 species